UAAUUAGAGUCACACUACGGUGUUUUAUAUUA
rnacentral:piRNA from 1 species